UCUGGAGAAUUUUAUUAAAUUAACAUAAAUAUUUAGCAAUUAAUUUUUUUUAAAUAAUUAUGUACCAAACAAAAUAUAAGAUUACAUACUUUUGGUGACAUAGUUUUCAGUAACCAUGAAUAUGAGAUGUGUUCGGCAGAUAUAUAUGGACACAAUUGUCGAACUUUAUCAGUAGGGGAAUAUAUGUGAAUAUUUUAUCCCUAAACUUCUUCUUUUUGUCUCUCAAAUUUCUCACGGCACAGAGACAACCCUAAUAUUUGCUUCUUCUCUAUUUUUCUGCGGUCACGAUGUCUUCUUCGUUUUGAUCGUUUUAUGUUUGGUUGAGAAGAAAAAAUAUGAAGAAUAUCCCUGCUUUGAUCUAUAACAAGUUUAUGUGCGAAAGAAAAUUUUCUAAACCAUCAAUAGGUACGAGUUGAUCUUUCAUUGGUGUUUCCCAUCGCCUGGUUGUUAUUUUGAUUCUCAAACCACCAUCAAUAAGUGUGCAAAUAGACGAAAACUUUUGCUUCGUGCUGGUGCUGCUGUGGUGAGAAGAUGGUAUGAUAUGGUGUAUGGACUUGCGGUGUGGAAACAAGCUGAUUGUGGUAAAGGUUCCGGGAUCUUCUAAGAUAUUCUCGAAUUCUGAUUGUGGAAAUGUACCCAUAUUUUUCUGGAGUGUUGUUUAAGACUAAUUCUAUUUUUGUUAACGAAUUCAGAAACUGCCAGAAAAACUUUUAUUCAUCUCUACAUUUAGAUUAUUCCAAAAACAGUGGUUGAUUGGCCGGCAAUUUACGCCUAAUUUAGUUUGAUUUCCUGGAAACCAAGUUAUGGAGCUGUAUAUAAGAGGUGCAGUGAUACUUGGUUUACACGUUCAAUGGCUGCCGCACUAGAGGAUACCUGACUACAGUUGCGUUUAGAAUAUGUUUUGCUAGAAUUGUGAUAAGGAAGAAUGGGUUUCCAGAGUUGUUGAAGCCCGUAAAUUUCAUUGUAGCUGAAUUCAUAUUGGUACCUGCUCCUGCUCACAAGAAAGAGGUAAAAACUUACGUAUACUAUGAUGCCCCUCUAAAGAUUUGGCUACCCGGUUUUUUUGCUAGCAGUAAAAAGCAUUGGCCCAUGGCGAGUUUAACCUGGGAGAUACAGAAACAUCAAUGAGUUGCAGGUAACUAUCACUUACACUGGCCUUUAUAUUUGUCAGUUUUGGCCAAUUUUAAAAAGAUGUUCUUUCCAACCUUUUGAAGUUAAAGACUUAAUAUAUGUGUUUGUGUGUUUAGCUAUAUGCUGAAGUAAAGGAGGCAUCAAAACGUAACUGCACCAUAUUUUGAGGUUUUUUAAUACUGUUAAGGUUAAAGAUACUCUUUGUGUGUUACUAUAUUUUCUAUUCUUAUCUGGUUUUUUCGGUUAUUGUUCCAAGUUCAGGUAUAUCUAAAAAAUCAGAAAAUUGUGGCAUGGCUUAAAUUGUGGCAAGUUCAGGGGAAAUCUAUAUACCGGCUGAACGAUGCUUAUGCUUUCUUCCUCUAGAAAUUGUGUAUACCGGCUGAACUAAUGAGAAUCAUUUGUCAGGAUUGCUUUGGUCAAAGGAAUUGCAAUCUUAUUUUAGACUACUGCGUCAUGUUCUAUAAAUGUGCUACGGGUAGUGUUGUAUCUUUGGGACUAUCUCUAACGCAAGCAAAUUUGCUGGCCUGUCUAGCAAACAAUGUCUUCUGCCAUGUUUUCAAUACAAGAAGUAGAACAAAUAGUAUUUAGUCACUACAUUUUUCUUGCUUUGGUCAUGUCAUAUGGGAGUUAAUUCCUGCCGCUGUUAUUUGGACUUUAUAGAAAUAAUCGUAUUUUUGAAGCCAAUUCCGACUACAAGGUUGACAGGGAUUUGGCAUAAGGGUCCAUUUUGAAUUUUUCAAACAGCGUUCACAGUUGGGACUUCAUUCUUUUUUUAUUGUUUUCUGUUGCAUUA